rnacentral:tRNA from 1 species
UAUUGAAUAUUAUUAAUAAAUUACUAUUUUGGCAGAUUAGUGCAAUAAAUUUAGAAUUUAUUUAUGUAAUUUAUAUUACAAGUAGUA